rnacentral:misc_RNA from 1 species
GAUGAAGAACGUAGCGAAAUGCGAUAAGUAAUGUGAAUUGCAGAAUUCAGUGAAUCAUCGAAUCUUUGAACGCACAUUGCGCCCGCCAGUAUUCUGGCGGGCAUGCCUGUUCGAGCGUCAUUACAACCCUCAGGCCCCCGGGCCUGGCGUUGGGGAUCGGCGGAGCCCCCCGUGGGCACACGCCGUCCCCCAAAUGCAGUGGCGGUCCCGCCGCAGCUUCCAUCGCGUAGUAGCUAACACCUCGCGACUGGAGAGCGGCGCGGCCACGCCGUAAAACACCCAACUCUUCUGAAGUUGACCUCGAAUCAGGUAGGAAUACCCGCUGAACCUAAGCAUAUCAAUAAGCGGAGGA